rnacentral:rRNA from 1 species
AUUGAACGCUGGCGGCAGGCCUAACACAUGCAAGUCGAGCGAGCGGCGGACGGGUGAGUAAUGUAUGGGGACUGCCCGAUAGAGGGGGAUAACUACUGGAAACGGUGGCUAAUACCGCAUACUAUCGGAUAACCCAUAUGGGAUUAGCUAGGAGGUGGGGUAAAGGUCCACCUAGGCGACGAUCUCUAGCUGGUCUGAGAGGAUGAUGUACCACACUGGGAAUGAGACACGGCCCAGACUCCUACGGGGGCCGCAGUGGGGAAUAUUGCCCAAUUGGCGCAAGCCUGAUGCGACCAUGCCGCGUGUAUGCAUAGGGCCUUAGGGUUGUAAUGUACUUUCAGCAGGAAGGCGUUACCCGCAGAAGAAGCACCGGCUAACUCCGUACCAGCAGCCGCGGUAAUAC